rnacentral:misc_RNA from 1 species
AGAGUUAAACAGUACGUGAAAUUGUUGAAAGGGAAACGAUUGAAGUCAGUCAUGCUUGUGUUGAAAUCAACUUGGUGGUUUACUUCCUUGUGUAUUUUCUCACUUAGCAGGUUAACAUCAAUUUUAGUUGUCAUCAAAUAAUUGGGGAAAUGUGGCUUCUCUUCGGUGAAGUGUUAUAGACCCUGAUAGAUGUGGUAACUAGGAUUGAGGAUUGCAGCGAAUGCCUUUGGCUAGUCACCUGUCUUCUGACGGUUACCUCGCUUUCGACAGCUUGCUGAUGAUUGUGGGAUUCGACAGUUUAGAAGUUAGAGUGUACAUAAAUUCGCUAAGGAUGUUGACGUAAUGGCUUUAAACGA